rnacentral:rRNA from 1 species
UAGGGAAUAUUGGGCAAUGGGCGCAAGCCUGACCCAGCAACGCCGCGUGAGGGAAGAAGGUUUUCGGAUUGUAAACCUCUGUCCUAUGUGACGAAGGAAGUGACGGUAGCAUAGGAGGAAGCCCCGGCUAACUACGUGCCAGCAGCCGCGGUAAUACGUAGGGGGCGAGCGUUGUCCGGAAUUACUGGGCGUAAAGGGUGCGUAGGCGGUUUGGUAAGUUGGAUGUGAAAUACCCGGGCUUAACUUGGGGGGUGCAUCUAAUACUGGUAAACUAGAGUACAGGAGAGGAAAGCGGAAUUCCUAGUGUAGCGGUGAAAUGCAUAGAUAUUAGGAGGAACAUCGGUGGCGAAGGCGGCUUUCUGGACUGACACUGACGCUGAGGCUCGAAAGCGUGGGGAGCAAACAGGAUUAGAUACCCUGGUAGU